AUAUAUUUUUUUAUACUUCCACUUGAUUUAUAUUUGAGAAGUUUUCUCCUUUUUUUAAUUGUAAAGUCUUUUAUCAGAUCAUCAAAACUAAUCUUAUGAAAUGCAUCUGCCUCUAUACUUAAUAGAGAUAAGGCAUCCUGCCAGCCUUGUUGCAUAGGUGUUCUGAUAGGCCUUUGUUUUACAUUUAAAUUGAUCUAAUAAUCUAAACAUAAGUUUCUCAGAGUAGCCUUUGGUUCUGAAUUUAAAUAUUUUUGUAAUCUUGUGAAUUACUGUCACAUAUUGGAAAAAUUAGGAAUAUGCUAAGGAAUGUUGAAAUUUCACUGUUACGGUUUUGAAAUUUCAUUUUUACGGUUAUAAUAAUCUUUUUUUUUCUCCAAAAAUCUCCUAAUCCAAUUUUUCUGUUUCAGGGAAACGCUGAGUGGUCACAACUUUCAGCUGAAGCAGCUGAAGUCGUCAAGAUAUAGAAAUAGUAUAAUUUGGAGUAUAUUCAGCCAAAAGGUUGCUGUUCAAGUGAAAUUUGUAUUCGUGUGAUAAAUAAUGCUGCCGGGUGAAAAUCCUUCGUCUGUUUUAAUUAUCAAGAGAUCUUAAGGUAACCUAUGUAAUAGUUUCCUCUCUGGCCCACUGUGAGAUGAACAAACUACUCCAUGUUAGGGACUAGUUAAGGACUGCUAGGUUGGAAUAUUUAAAGAUCAUCAGAUGAACCUCCCCCUACAAUUGCAGUAUCCAUCAUCAAGCUUGUAGAACUACCAUGACCUAGCAUUGAAGACUGCCAUUAUACUAGUGCUGCGAUACUUCAAGCUAGCAUCCUUUAGCACGAGCACUGAAAGUUUAAUUGGGUCUGCAGAAUGUGGUAUCAAUGCACUCCCACACCUUAAAGUACACUAGCAUUGAAAAUCAAACUUGCACCAUCAUUUUACCCUAGUAUAUUAGAAAAAGUCAGGAAGUAAUUUGGAAAUUAUCCGCUUAGGAAAAAGUUUGUAAGUUAUCUUGAGUGUCUUGACAAAUUCGGCUAAUGUAAUUUUUCUUGUGGAUUUUAAAAAAUUGGAGUUUUUGGCUCAACUCCAUUACUUUUAAACUUUUUCAUUAGGCUAGAA